AUUGAACGCUGGCGGCAUGCCUUACACAUGCAAGUCGAACGGCAGCGCGGGGCAACCUGGCGGCGAGUGGCGAACGGGUGAGCAAUAUAUCGGAACAUACCCUAGAGUGGGGGAUAACGUAGCGAAAGUUACGCUAAUACCGCAUACGCACUAAGGUGGAAAGUGGGGGAUCUUCGGACCUCAUGCUCAUGGAGUGGCCGAUAUCUGAUUAGCUAGUUGGUGAGGUAAAGGCUCACCAAGGCGACGAUCAGUAGCUGGUUUGAGAGAACGACCAGCCACACUGGAACUGAGACACGGUCCAGACUCCUACGGGAGGCAGCAGUGGGGAAUUUUGGACAAUGGGGGCAACCCUGAUCCAGCAAUGCCGCGUGAGUGAAGAAGGCC
rnacentral:rRNA from 1 species